rnacentral:rRNA from 1 species
UUGGAGGGCAAGUCUGGUGCCAGCAGCCGCGGUAAUUCCAGCUCCAAUAGCGUAUAUUAAAGUUGUUGCAGUUAAAAAGCUCGUAGUUGAAUUUCGGGGUUAGUAGGUUGGUCGUGCCUAUGGUAUGCACUGGCUUUACUGAUUCCUCCUUCUUGAAGAACUGUAAUGUCAUUAAUUUGGUGUUGCAGGGAAACAGGACUGUUACUUUGAAAAAAUUAGAGUGUUUAAAGCAGGCUAACGCUUGAAUACAUUAGCAUGGAAUAAUGAAAUAGGACGUUUGAUCCUAUUUUGUUGGUUUCUAGGAUUGACGUAAUGAUUAAUAGGGAUAGUUGGGGGCAUUAGUAUUCAAUUGUCAGAGGUGAAAUUCUUGGAUUUAUUGAAGACUAACUACUGCGAAAGCAUUUGCCAAGGAUGUUUUCAUUAAUCAAGAACGAAAGUUAGGGGACCGAAGACGAUCAGAUACCGUCGUAGUCUUAACCAUAAACUAUGCCGACUAGGGAUCGGAUGAUGUUAAUUUUUUAAUGACUCAUUCGGCGCCUUACGGGAAAC